rnacentral:rRNA from 1 species
AUUGAACGCUGGCGGCAGGCCUAACACAUGCAAGUCGAACGAGUGGCGGACGGGUGAGUAAUUUCUGGGAAACUGCCUGAUGGAGGGGGAUCACUACUGGAAACGGUAGCUAAUACCGCAUACCCUCGUCUUGGCCCCGGUGGGAUUAGCCAGUAGGUGGGGUAACGGCUCACCUUGGCGACGAUCCCUAGCUGGUCUGAGAGGGUGACCAGCCACACUGGAACUGAGACACGGUCCAGACUCCUACGGGAGGCAGCAGUGGGGAAUCUGGCACAAUGGGCGCAAGCCUGAUGCAGCCAUGCCGCGUGUAUGAAGAAGGCCUUCGGGUUGUAAAGUACUUUCAGCAGGGAGGCGUUACCCGCAGAAGAAGCACCGGCUAACUCCGUGCCAGCAGCCGCGGUAAUAC